ensembl:lncRNA novel transcript
GCGGUUUCGGGGAAGAGACCGGGGUUGAGCGUCUAGCCCAUCUCUGCGUGACUUCCGCCAGCGUUUAGAGCGUUUUCGGGGUCCGAGUUGAAGAGCAAAACCAAGUGAAGGAAACUUCACUAAGUUCAGGGUGACAAGGGAGGAAGUACAGAGGUAAUUUAUAGAAUUCCAGAGUAAUAAUAACUUGUUGAACAUUGAUUAUGUGCCGGGUUUUGUUAGAUGCUUAUAAGCAUCAUCUCAUUUAGACUUCAUUAAAGGGGAGAAAAGGGAUAGUGGAGAGAUACUAUCAUCCCCUCAGGUGAGGGCUCUGAAUCAGAGAAUGCAGUUCUCUGCGCACAGUAGUUCACAAGUAGCAUAGCUGGGAUAUGAACACACAUCCUCUGACUCUGUGCUCAUAAGCACGACUUCAAGAGGUGGAAGGAACAUAACAGUUCAUCUGGUCAAAUCCUCUCGCUUUCACCGAUAUGAAAACUGGACUCAGAGAGAAGUGAUUUGUUAGAAGUUAUACAACUGCACUUUAAAUUCUGGAUGACAGACCUAUCAGGACUGAGUGGACCUUUGAGUGACAAGAUGG